UACAGAGGGCGCGAGCGUUGUCCGGAAUCACUGGGCGUAAAGGGCGCGUAGGUGGCGCGGUAAGUCGGGUGUGAAAUCUCGGGGCUUAACUCCGAAACUGCAUUCGAUACUGCCGUGCUUGAGGACUGGAGAGGAGACUGGAAUUUACGGUGUAGCGGUGAAAUGCGUAGAUAUCGUAAGGAAGACCAGUGGCGAAGGCGGGUCUCUGGACAGUUCCUGACGCUGAGGCACGAAGGCCAGGGGAGCAAACGGG
rnacentral:rRNA from 1 species